rnacentral:lncRNA from 1 species
AAUUGAGACACAGACAAGUUAAAUAACUUGUCCACAGUUACAUAGUUAUGACCGGGUGGAACCAAAAUUAAAUUCUGGGCAGUGUGGCUUCAGAGUACAUACUGCUUCCCAUUACACUCUAUUUCUUCUUUGAGCCAUAACAAUGGAAAAUUGCAUUUUGAUACAUUCUUUGUGAGAGAUCACUUGGCAAAAAUUUUAUAGAGAAAAACAUGGCACUCUAUCCAAGUUGAAGAUGCUCAAAACUUUUGACUCUGCAUUUUUUCACUACCUGUUAUUCACUUAUGUGUGAAAUGACAUCCUGACAAAGUUUUCUACUGCAGAAAUGUUUGUUAUGGUAACAACUGGAAAAAAAGACUAAAACAUUGACCUCUAUUUCCGAAAACAUGGCCACUAUUGUAGUUUGAGUGGCUCGCCCACAGCCUGGCCUUGCACUAGUCGUCUAAAGCAGCAGAGCUAAGGAAAGUAAUGCCCAGGACUCCAGAUAUUUGGGAAGAAUGCUUGAUCUGAGAUCCUCCCAGGGCAGUCUUUGCUGGCAAUUCAUACUGAUGGAAACGAAUGGAUUAACCCCAGAUAUUUAUCAACCUUCACUAUCUCUGCCUCCUCAUUAUGUCAUCAAAGGCUCAGAUUAAGGGUAAGUAUAGAGGAAGCUGAAGUGCCUGGCCCAUUCCCUUUAUUUCUUUCUCUUGUCUGAUUGCUCUAGCUAGGACUUCUAGUACUAU